rnacentral:rRNA from 1 species
UACGAAGGGGGCGAGCGUUGUUCGGAAUUACUGGGCGUAAAGGGCGCGUAGGCGGCGACUCAAGUUAGAUGUGAAAGUCCUGGGCUUAACCUGGGGACUGCAUUUGAUACUGGGUUGCUUGAAUUCGGGAGAGGAUAGCGGAAUUCCCAGUGUAGAGGUGAAAUUCGUAGAUAUUCGGAGGAACACCGGUGGCGAAGGCGGCUUCCUGGACCGGUUCUGACGCUGUAAAGCGAAAGCUAGGGGAGCAAACAGG